rnacentral:rRNA from 1 species
CUGGCUCAGGAUGAACGCUGGCGACAGGCUAACACAUGCAAGUCGAGGGGCAGCACGGGAGUAGCAAUACAACUGGUGGCGACCGGCGCACGGGUGAGUAACGCGUAUGCAACCUACCUAUCAGAGGGGAAUAACCCGGCGAAAGUCGGACUAAUACCGCAUAAAACAGGGGCACCGCAUGGUGAUAUUUGUUAAAGAAAUUCGCUGAUAGAUGGGCAUGCGUUCCAUUAGGUAGUUGGUGAGGUAACGGCUCACCAAGCCGACGAUGGAUAGGGGAACUGAGAGGUUGGUCCCCCACACUGGUACUGAGACACGGACCAGACUCCUACGGGAGGCAGCAGUGAGGAAUAUUGGUCAAUGGGCGAGAGCCUGAACCAGCCAAGUCGCGUGAAGGAAGAAGGAUCUAUGGUUCGUAAACUUCUUUUGCAGGGGAAUAAAGUGCGGGACGUGUCCUGUUUUGUAUGUACCCUGAGAAUAAGGAUCGGCUAACUCCGUGCCAGCCGCUGC